AGAGUUUGAUUAUGGCUCAGAACGAACGCUGGUGGCGUGUCUUAUACAUGCAAGUCGAGCGAGGCAGCAAUGCCGAGCGGCGAACGGGUGAGUAACGCGUAAGCAAUCUGCCCCAUAUCAGGAAAUACCCGUGCCAACGCGCGGUUAAUGUCCAGGAGAGUGGCCCUCCGCAUGGAGGGUUGACUAGAGAUUCAUCGGUAUGGGAUGAGCUUGCGUCCGAUUAGCUAGUUGGCGGGGCAACGGCCCACCAAGGCGACGAUCGGUAGCCGGCCUGAGAGGGUGAUCGGCCACAUUGGGACUGAGAUACGGCCCAGACUCCUACGGGAGGCAGCAGUAGGGAAUAUUGCACAAUGGGGGAAACCCUGAUGCAGCAACGCCACGUGUGGGAAGAAGCAUUUCGGUGUGUAAACCACUGUCAUGAGGGAAUAAGGCCCGCCUUCGGACGGGAUUGAAUGUACCUUGAGAGGAAGCACCGGCAAACUUCGUGCCAGCCGCGGC
rnacentral:rRNA from 1 species